rnacentral:rRNA from 1 species
GGCGAACGCUGGCGGCGUGCCUAAUACAUGCAAGUUGAGCGCUGAAGGUUGGUACUUGUACCGACUGGAUGAACAGCGAACGGGUGAGUAACGCGUGGGGAAUCUGCCUUUGAGCGGGGGACAACAUUUGGAAACGAAUGCUAAUACCGCAUAAAAACUUUAAACACAAGUUUUAAGUUUGAAAGAUGCAAUUGCAUCACUCAAAGAUGAUCCCGCGUUGUAUUAGCUAGUUGGUGAGGUAAAGGCUCACCAAGGCGAUGAUACAUAGCCGACCUGAGAGGGUGAUCGGCCACAUUGGGACUGAGACACGGCCCAAACUCCUACGGGAGGCAGCAGUAGGGAAUCUUCGGCAAUGGACGAAAGUCUGACCGAGCAACGCCGCGUGAGUGAAGAAGGUUUUCGGAUCGUAAAACUCUGUUGGUAGAGAAGAACGUUGGUGAGAGUGGAAAGCUCAUCAAGUGACGGUAACUACCCAGAAAGGGACGGCUAACUACGUG